CCUGCGGAAGGAUCUUAAUGAGUUGUGAUGGGGUUUGAUGCUGGCAGCCAAUUUUUGGAUGCAUGUGCUUGCCCUAACAAUCAUCUUCCAAACACCUGUGCACAUUUUUGAGGGAGUUUCGAGUUGAUUGCCACUUUUGGGUGAUUUUCUUGCAUUCCCUUAAAUCAUUAUACGCCAUUGACAAUGCUGAACGUGCUCUGUGCCGCAAGGCCAUUAAUAUAAUACAACUUUUAACAACGGAUCUCUUGGCUCUCGCAUCGAUGAAGAACGCAGCGAAAUGCGAUAAGUAAUGUGAAUUGCAGAAUUCAGUGAAUCAUCGAAUCUUUGAACGCACCUUGCGCUCCCUGGUAUUCCGGGGAGCACGCCUGUUCGAGUGUCACGAAAUUUCUCAAGCUAGGAUGGCUUUUUGUCUGUCCUUAGCCUUGGUUGUUGGGCUUUGCCGUGUCCUUCAUUGGGACGGCUGGCCUUAAAAGCAUUAGCUGAUCCUCGUGUGGCACUGGUUCUACUCAGCGUGAUAACAGUCUGAUCGCUGAGGACAUCUUUUGGGAUGGCCAGUCCUCAUUUGGGUUGCUUCUAAACUUGGUUUCGCGGAUUGUUCAAUCUGCGUUCCACUUUUCAGC
rnacentral:rRNA from 1 species